UUCUCGAAAACUUAAGAACUUAUAGUCCAUAACAUAAGGCUUAUGGUUGAUAUUACUUUGUUUUACUUUGCUCUCCUUCUGGGAUAUAUUGGAAAUCUCUUUCCCAUAACCAUAUUUUAAAUAGCUGAAUGACAGAUACUCGGUAUCACUCUUUCACUUGCCUGACAAAGAUUGUCACUGUGAAGUGAAAGGUGAAUCAUGACAAAUUCUUCCUGAAUAAAUAAAUGAGUAACUAGAAAAGAAAGAGAUGCUUACCUUCCGAAAUACUUCCUCUAGGUGGCAGCACCAAGAAUAUUUCCGGAAGCAGGCGACCAGUUGUGUGAUGAAGAUGGAGCCCACUGUGCUGUCUCUCCAGGACACGUUAUCUGUGAUGAUACAGGUUCAAGCGAUUCUCCUGCCUCAGCCUCCAGAGCAGAUGGGACCACAGGCACCCACCACCACACCCAGCUGCAUACCUUCUUCUACUCAUCCGUCUCUUCUGAUCUGUCGGUUAUUCUUCCGCUGCUCAUCUAAAAAAACCUGUCCUGACUCCCAUUCUUCUUUUAUGAAUACUUGAUGUCUGGGCGAAUUGGACCGAUGAAUGAUCUCAACAUGGCAGAACCUUCCUACACAGAGUCAGACUCUAAUGUACCACAGCACAGAACAUCUUCCAUAUAAUUCUCUGUUAUGGCUCAGCAUUCCAAUAAAAAAUUUGGAAACAUAGACAAAUUAUUACUAAUUCAUCGAACAGAUAUGUAAAAUUGAUCUCUUGGAUAGAGGGAAUUGUGUGUAUAACUUGGAACAAAGCUUAAGUUGGUCUUUGAAAAUCUUAUCUAAAUUCCCUGCAGGUAUAGACCCACUAGUGGGUGAUUGUCAGUUUUUGUAUUGAUAACCCCAACAAAGAUGUCCUGUGUAGAACCUGCUACCUGGUGUGGAAGAGCAGAAAGCAAUAAAAUCCUUCUCUAUGUGGGCUUUCCCAAUGGCAUCAUCUUCAAAAGCUUCUGUAGUUGGUAAAGAUGUGUUUUCAGAGACUCCUGCUGAGUCUUUUAACCACACCACACCUUCGUUCUCUGGAAAGACAAAAUUUGAUUUGUUACUAGUACCAACAGCUGAGAAGAUGAUGUUUUCCUCCUAGCCUCUGUUCCGGGAUAUUUAUUAAUGUGUUUGCUCUAUAAUUAAUUAACAUGCAAAUACACACAUACAUUUCAGUUACAAUCUUUUCAACAAUUCUUAACUUUUCUGAUCAUGAAGCAAAUUCGAAAAAUGUCCAAACACCAAAGUCUCAAGCUUUAAUAUGGGACAAAUAUCUACCAACCAGCCAUUCAAUCCACAGAAACCACAGUCUUGAGUGCUGACAUUACAUGUUCUUUGACAUUAAAAGACAGACAAAAAGAAACUGAAAAAUCCUGGAUGCAUACAGCUGAGGACAGUAUUUGAAUGUCUGGUGUUCUCAAAGACCUUGGCACUCACCACCACGACAGGCCUGGAUGAUGAUCACCUUGGGUUUGUCCUUCAAACUUGGGCAGUUCUUGGUAUUCAAAUUUCUAAAGAUUUCAUUGACUCGUAAUAUAUCGGGGACUUGCUCAGAGUAUUUCUUCCCACAAAUGCCUUCCCGAAUACCAUGAGACAUGAACACCAGGAAGGUGCUAUCAGAGGUCUUGUGCUCUGGGCGGUGUGCAAACGCCUCCAGCUCUGUAGUCAUUUCCUGAAAGAGACCACACCGCUGAUUUUGCACUGUGUAAUUAACUAUCACGGCACCUUGGAAAGCCGAUGAAUAAAUACUUAAGGAAUUGCUUAAGGAAUUCCAUGACAAACAAUGGAGUGCCAAAAAAAUUUUAGUCUUAAUUUUUAGAAAGAAAAGUGUUAUAGGAAGUCAUCCAGAGUUAUCUUGUAGCGAGACAGUGACAUUACUGAGCUAAUAAAGCAUUUCCCAAUUAAGUUACACCAAGCUUGUGCUGAAAGACUCUUAUGUUACAAGGGAACAUGUAGUAUCCAGCACUCUCUCAUGGUAAGUUUAUAUUUUAGAUUAUCAAGAGAUUACAUUUCUUGGUCUUACAACCAAGCUUUCUAAUAUUAUUUAGUUAUAUGAAGGGCAUGACCAUCGUCUCUUAGUUCUGUUAAUAGAACUUACUGAAGCAGUGAGAUUUUUUCUCACAUCCACACUGUACCCCAGAUUUUUUAGCAGUAUUUCCAUGCCUGUGAUGUCAACCUCAGCUCCAGUUCUUCUGGAAAGACUGUCAAAUUCUUCAUUGCAGAUAAUGAGAGCAAGACGUGUGCGGCUUGACUUGUCCAUUGUUGGAUAAAUCUACAGGAAAUGGAGUUUGAAUUAACAGCCUUGUCCUCUCCAAUUAAAUAUUCACCUUGCUGGUUUGCGACAGCUUUCCCUUCCUUAGUCCUAUGAAGAUACCAAAUCCCAUGAACUGUACAUUGAAAAGGGGUAACAGAAUUGAGUGCUGCUUCAAGAGCAGGCAUGGAAAUCGCAAAUGCCCAGAUGGCAGCCAAACUACUGACUUCAUUGUUCUUGAUAUGUAGGAUUUUGAAAGACCCACAAGCUUUGAAGCAAAAAAUGGCUGAAUUCUAAAACUGAUUUCUUCAAUUUCUGGUUAUCUUUGGUCAAAAUAUUUAACAAUCCUAUAUCUCAGCUUCUUGAUCUCCAAAAUGGGUUACGUUUAGGUUUAAAAUUAUUUAUUAUCGUGUGUGAAUUGCUUAGAACAAUGCCCACUCAUAGUAAGCAUUCAAUAGCUGCCAUCGCUGAUGUUAUUUACCCAGGAAGUGGAUCCAAUUUGGAACUCUUUCUCCAAACCUGGGAUUUUAGCAUACAGAAAUCCUUUAUGUGAGAGGAACAAAAGCGUAAUUCUCCAGAACUGCUCAAUGAAAUUGGCUCUAAGAAACGGUCACUGCAUUUCAGAACUGCCCCAAGUAUAUCUUUCACCCCACUCUAUCCGUGUGUUCUGAGCAUGGCACCUCUGCCGACUGUUCUUUCUUUAUCCUUUCAGCUUCUUCUGGGGGGCAAAGCUUGACAUUCCCUUCUGAGCGCAUCGGUGGCUUGUUCUGCACUGCCGGAGGAGCUGUAAGAGACGAAGAACGUUAUGAACCGUGGCGUUCCUCUUUGUUCCGCUUUGUGUUUCUUACAGCCUCACCUAUGGAUGAAGACACAGAAGAGGAAACGCACUCUGAGGAGGACAACCCUGAGCUACAUCAUCAACACAGCUGAAAGAGUUUGCUGCUAAUGGAACACCUUUCAGUCCAGAGAUCCCUGGGAACACUGGAACAUACAGCGUGAAGCUUUUCAGAUGCUUCUCACGAGCUUCAGCAAGUGAACUACCACAUACUCAGAACAGGAAAUGAGCUUCAAUCAGAAGACGGCCACUGAGGAUGAAGAAACAGAACCAAAGGAGAGUCAAGGGACAGGCACUGUCCCUUGUUACAGAAACAUGGCCCAGACGCCAGAGAUAAGAAAGUUUUCUGCAACUUAACAUGACUAGUAAAGACAUCACAUAUAGGCACGUUGAUAAGCCCUGUGUGCACCUGAGUGUGAGUCACUGAUCCUUACCUGCUGAGAGGCCCAGCUUCUCUGCCAGGUGACGAUCCUCUUCACAAAUGUACAUGAUGCAAACUUGGCAUGCCCGAGCCCCCUUCCGAAUAACAGAGUCAAGCAAAGCUCGGGCCUUAUCCAUGACUGUGGCAUUUUCACGUUUUACUUUCUCCAUCUCUUCCUCGUUCAGCACCCCUUUCUCUAGUAAUUCAUCCAGUAAGCCAUUUAUUGUACCUUCACCCACUGAACGGAUAAAGAGCCUCCUCUUCUCCUUCAGGAUCUUGUCUGUUCAGGGCACAAGGAUUUCUCACAUCAUGAGAACAGCCUCAUAUUCCUCUCAUGUCAUCAACAGAAAGAGAGCUCAUUUAAGUUUCAUCUGUAAAAUUCCCCCUCCUCAUACUUGGGUAAAAUCCCUCUUCUUACUGUAUCACUGUCCCACUCCUUUCUCUCAGUAGUCCCUGAACAUGUGCAUGGAGUGGCCUGAAGACUGAGUUUACCAUUUCCAGCUUCACCCCUGGAAAGCAGAGACCAUCCUUUUGUGUCUCAUGUUUAUUUAACUACGAAUAAUAAAGCAGCCCAUUCUCUCAGGAACAAUAGCUGCUAGUACUCCUCCUGUGCCAGUUCUGUACCCUCCGUUAGACUUACACAUGUAAGUUAGAGUUUAAUUAAGAUUGCAAAGUGACAGCCGGCUACCUCUGAAAGCCCUCAGUUCCUUUCUGGGUUUGCCUUUCCUUUCUAAAGGCUGCGAGAGUCUUCUGGUUUCUUCUCUCCUCCCUGUUCUCCCUCUCCCUCACUUCUGCCCACCUAGACUUCCACAGAUACUAAUUACGGCUUCCUGAAGAGCCAGCCCCUUCCAAAACUCUUCCUUCCCAGGGACCUGUCCUUGGGACAGUGUAAGACUCACCAGCCAUGGCUUUUCUCCUCUUCCUCCUUGUGUGAGCUGAAACUGAAAGUAUGCUUCACCUUCCUUUUUGGCGUGGGUGUGCACACACAUUGAAACAACCACUGCACAUGCAUACGCAUGUCUUUAUUUCUUUCUUUUUUUUUUUUUUUUCCGGAGAAUCAGGACAGUAGCCUGCAUCAGGGAGAGUAUCCGUGGGAUUUUUUUUUUUUUUCACCAGCCCUUGGAAUAGAUUAGGAUAGGAGGGCAAUGGGGCUUAGAGAGGAAGACAGGCUUGAGAAAGUGUGUGUACAAUUAAACUCACACAGUGGACUUUUUCAAUCAUUGGAACACUUGAUGGAGAAAAGUAACACAACGUGUGGAGAAUGUGAAACGCUGUUCUCCUUGCCCCCCCCACCCCCCGGGCAUAACUCUGGGAAAUGCAUGUUCCAGUAAAGGAAUUUUGCUUUAAGAAACAUUUUUCACCAAAAUUAAAGCUUUUUAAAUUUAAUGUCCUUCCUUUUAAGUUGCUUUUUUUUUUUCUUCUUUUUCUAUUACAGGAUAUUGUUCCGUCGUUCAGGCUGGAAUGCAGCUACUCAACCUUGGCUCACCGCAGCCUCCACCUCCCAGGCUCAAAUGAUUCUGCCAAGUCCGGCUCCAGAGUAGCUGCAACUCCUGGCAUGUGCUACCUUGGCCAGCUAGUGUUUGUAUAUCUUGUAGAGACAGGAUCUCCCUAAGUUUCCUAUGCUUGUCUUCAACUCCCUGGCUCAAACAUUGUGCCCAUGCUGGCCUCUCAAUGUGCUGGGAUUACAGGCAUGGGCCACCCACCCAUUCCAGUCGGUUUAUUUUUGAGGUUUAUUGCAUCACAGAGGCCCAGAGCAUAGGCUCUGGAAUUAGAAUGUUGAACUUAGCACUUUAAACUUCCCUUUCUGGGUAAGAUACUCAGCUUCCCUAUGCAUUGGUUCCUCUGUCUAUAAAAUAAUUUUAUUAAUAGUAUGUACCUACACAUACUAUUUGAGCAUCAAGUGAGCAAAAAUGUGGAAAAUGCAUGGAACAUUGCCUGGCAAAUGAUGGAUGUUUUUGUUGUUUUGUUUUCCAAUACAGGAUGUCACUCUUCACCCAGGCUGGAGCACAGUGGCAUGACCGUGGCUCACUGCAGCCUCCACCUCCCCAAGCUGAGAUGAUUCUCCCACAUCAGUUUCCUGAGUAGCUAAAACUACAGGCAAGCGCCAUCACCACUGGUUAAUUUUUGUAUUUUCUGUUGAGAUGGACUCUCCCUCUGUUUCCUAGGCUGAUUGUGAAUUCUGCUCAAAUGAUCCACCCAACUUGGUCUCACAAAGUGCUGGGAUUGUAGGCGUGAACCAUCCACUCAUCUUGGAUGCCUUGCUUUUUAGAAACAUUGCAUCACAGCAUAGUCCCUGAACUCAGAAUGUUGAACCUACAUGUUAAAACAUCCCUUUCUAGGCAAAACACUGAACUUCUUUAUGCAUAGGUUCCUCUGUCUGUAAAAUGAUGAUAUUGGUAGUACAUACAUACACCUACACGGUUUUGAGCAACAUUGAGUUAAAUGUGAAAAUGCAUGGAACAUUACCUGGCAAAUGAUAAGCUCGUAAUGAGGGAUAUUACUAUAAUUAAUACAAAUACUACAUUUUAGAAAAAUAAUCAAGGAUGAUUAUUUGCAGAUUAUCUAGCUAAGUUUAUCUUCCGUUAGAAUCCUCAAGCAGUGCAUCUAGUCAUGAAUUUAGCAAACAUAUGUGGAGAGCAUGGGUCUAGGUGUCAGUGGUUCAGUCAAAACACAUCGCGGUCCUUUCCCCCUUGCUCUCACAUUCUAGAGAGGAAGACAAGAAUGAAGCUUGGUAUGUAAUAUGUAACUGGAAUAUUUAGAAUGUUAAAAUACACCAACUGAUUAGAAGAAUGAGAAAUUAACUGGAGAAAUGGGAGGCAAAAUAUUACAUGGCUCAUGAACACUGCACAGAGGAACCAGGGAAGGCAAGAAGAGGUCUCUGGCUUUGUAAGUACAUGCUCAAUUGAUCGUCCCAGAAAUGAACUCAAUGUGGCUAAUUUAUUUUAUGAAUAAACUUGAUGGAAGAUGGACUAAUAGCAAAAUGCACAUAGUACAUUGUUUAUCAAUUUUUGUUUAACCAAAAAUCUUCUUGGGCUGUUACAUUAUUAUUUUUGCAGGAUAACAACCGGAUUUAUGAAAAUAUUCACCUUUCGACAUGUGGGCUACCAGUUUUACUUCCUGUGCUCUAGGCUGAGAGUUAACGUGUUUGGUGAGAGUAGAACUGACCGUGUAGGAGGACAAUGAUGUGGCUUUUCAUCUAAGGCUUUUUUCAUGGUGUUUUUAUCUUUCCUUUGCCAAUGACCUAAUCCGAUUGCAGCAAAAUAAAUCUCGUGCUCCUUGCUACUGGAAUUUGGAGCAUGUAACAAACCAGAAAUUGCCUCUGCGUCAUGUCUCUUCAGUUUAGUUACUUUUAAAUGUAUGUACUGAUUCAUUUAUUUUCUGUUACUUAAGGAUUUAAUACAAGGGUUUUCCCCCUGGCCAGAGUCAUGAACCACUGAUUUGAAGCAUGUCGGAGUGGCAACAGAAACCAUGAUUAGACCAUGUAUCUGGGAAUGUAGAACCAGGAAACUUGAGUCUCAUGUCCUGGGCAUCUAAACACUGAGCCACUAGACUGCAAGGGGCCACUCUAUCCUCAAAAAGGAAGAUGUCAAAAACUGGAAACAAAGCAGUAUCCAAUUCGGGAGCAUAAACUAACAACUUGUACUACAGGAUACACUGAAAUGCUCUUCAGUCUUAAAAGGGAAAAAUUACUAAUACAUGCCAUACCAUGAAUGAAAAAAUUAUGCUUUUAUGAUGACUGAAAGAAGCCACAUAGGAGGGAACUCAUGCCCUAUGAUUCCAAUUUAAGUCCUAGAUUUUAAAAAGCUAACACAAAGUGAUAAAAAUUCAAUCCCUAAUCAUCUGAGGAGAAAGUGGAAAGAGUUGAGAAGAAAGGGCGUGACAAAACUCGCUGGAUGACAAAUUGCUUUCUUAUUCAUUGGGAUGUUACUAUAUGUAAUAUCCUCAUAUCAUCAACAAACAAUUUGUGUUCCUAAAAGGGGUACUUUUUUGAUGUAAAUUAUACUAAAAUAACAUUAAAAUUUUGAAAUGAUAAAGGCCAGUGGCAGUAAUAAUAGACUUAUUUGGAAAGGAUAUUUUUUUCUUGAUUUCAGGACACACUUAAGCCUCCACAAAUUUGUCAUAAUUCUGGUAAGAGGAAGUCCUUAUAGUGACUGAAAUGUAAUUACCUGCCACCCAAGUUGGACGGUUAUGUAGACAGAAUGGAGAUAAUUUAUAGGAACCAAUGUAUUGACAGAAAUAUGUACCUGGAAAAUAGCAUUACAUAAGUAAUAUUAUCUUAAAAUAAAUGAAUGUAGAAAUUCUUCCAUCAGUAAUAUUUAAAACAUGCUUAAUGAUUUAAAACACCUUCUAUCAGUGUGAAAUCUGGGAUGCAAUAAUACUUUUUAUUUUAUUUAUUUAUUUAAUCUUCUCUUAAAAUUGUACUUUACAUUCUGGGGUACAUGUGCAGAUCAUGCAGGGUUGUUGCACAGGUACAUACAUGGCAAGUUGGUUUGCUGCCUCCAUCCCCCUGUCACCUAUAUCUAGCAUUUCUUCCCAUAUUAUCCCUCUCCAACCUCCCCACUUCCCACUGUCCCUCCCCUUGCCUCCCACACCAUACCCCAGUGUGUGAUGCUCCCCUCCCUGUGUCCAUGUGUUCUUUUUGUUCAACAACCGCAUAUGAGUGAGAACAUGCUGUGUUUCAUUUUCUGUUCUUGUGUCAGUUUGCUGAGAAUGAUGGUUUCAAGAUUCAUCCAUGCCCCUACAGAGGACACACAUUCAUCAUUUUUUAUGGCUGCAUAGUAUUCUACAGUGUAUAUGUGCCACAUUUUUCAUGCCCAGUCUAUCACUGAUGGGCAUUUGGGUUGGUUCCUCAUCUUUGCUAUUGUAAACAGUGCCACAAUGAACAUAACAUGUGCAUAUGUCUUUAUAAUAGAACUAUUUGUAAUCCUCUGGAUAUAUACCCAGUAAUGGGAUUGCUGGGUCAAAUGGUAUUUCUAUUUCUAGGUUCUUGAGGAAUCCCCACACUGUGUUCCACAUGGUUGAACUAAUUUACACUCCGGCCAACAGUGUAAACGUGUUCCUAUUUCUUCACAUCCUCUCCAGCAUCUGUCUCCAAAUUUUUGAUGAUUGCCAUUCUAACCGGUGUGAAAUGGUCUCUAAAUGUGGUUUUGAUUUGCAUUUCUCUAAUUACCAGUGAUGAUGAGCAUUUUUUCAUAUGUUUGUUGGCCUCAUAAAUGUCUUCUUUUGAAAAAUGACUAUUCAUGUCCUUCGCCCACUUUUGAAUGGGUUUGUUUGUUUUUUUCUUGUAAAUCUGUUUUAAUUCUUUGUAGAUUCUGGAUAUUAGCCCUUUGUCAGAUGGGUAGAUUGCAAAAAUUUUUUCCCAUUCUUUUGGUUGCUGGUUCACCUUAAUGAUUGUUUAUUUUGCUGUACAGAAGCUCUGGAGUUUAAUCAGAUCCCAUUUGUCUAUUUUGGCUUUUGUUGCCAAAGCUUUUGGUGUUUUAGUCAUGAAGUCUUUGCCUAUGCCUAUGUCCUGAAUGGUUUUGUCUAUUUGUUCUCCAGGAUUUUUAUGGUGUUAAGUCCUAUGUUUAAGUCUUUAAUCCAUCUGGAGUUAAUUUUAGUGUAAGGUAUCAGAAAGGAGUCCAGUUUCUGCUUUCUUCACACUGCUAGCCAGUUUUCCCAACACCAUUUAUUAAACAGGGAAUCCUUUCCCCAUUGCUUGAUUUUAUCAGGUUUGUCAAAUAUCAGAUGGUUGUAGAUGUGUAGCAUUGCCUCCGAGGCCUCUUUUCUGUUCCAUUGGUCUAUAUCUCUGUUUUGGCACCAGUACCAUGCUGCUUUGAUUACUGUAGCCUUGUAGUACAGUAUUAAGUCAGGUAGUGUGAUGUCUCCAGCUUUGUUCUUCUUGCUUAGGAUUGUCUUGGCUAUGUGGGCUCUCUUCUUGUUCCAUAUGAAGUUUAAGAUUUUUUUUCCAGUUCUGUGAAGGAUGUCAUUGGUAACUUGAUGGGGAUAACAUUGAAUCUAUAAAUUACUUUGGGCAGUAUGGCCAUUUUCAUGAUAUUGAUUCUUCCUAACCAUGAACAUGGAUUGUUUUUCCAUCUGUUUGUGCCGUCUCUUAUUUCCUUGAGCAGUGGUUUGUAGUUCUCCUUUAGGAGGUCCUUUACAUCCUUUGUUAGUUGUAUUCCUAGGUAUUUUAUUCUCUUUGUAGCAAUUGUGAAUGGGAGUUCAUUCUUGAUUUGGCUCUCUUUAAGUCUGUUAUUGGUAUAUAGGAAUGCUUGUGAUUUUUGCACAUUGGUCUUAUAUCCUGAGACUUUGCUGAAGUUGCUUAUCAGUUUCAGGAGAUUUUGGGCUGAGAGGAUGGGGUCUCAUAUACAGUCAUAUCAUCUGCAAAUAGAGACAAUUUGAUUCCCUCAUUUCCUAAUUGAAUACUUUUAUUUCCUUUUCUUGCCUGAUUGCUCUGGCUAGAACUUCCGAUACUAUAUUGAAUAGGAGUGGUGAGAGAGGGCAUCCUUGCCUAGUGCCAAAUUUCAAAGGGAAUUCUUCCAAUUUUUGCCCAUUCAUUAUGAUAUUGGCUGUGGGUUUGUCAUAAUACUUUUAAUAACAGAGUAGGUACUUUAAGAAUCUCUGACAUAGAAGAUAGAAAAUUCCUGUGCUUGGGUUUUGGCUGUCCUAUUUCCAAGCCUUAGAACAUCAUAUACCCUUACAGUUUUUCCUACUCAUCUUCCUAUUUAUAUUUUUGGACUACAGGACAUUUUAAGUAAUACAACUUAGAUACCAAAGUCCACACUGAGAGUACCAAGAUCAACUUCUGUUCAUGAGCUGUAGAUUUCGGAUAAGUUAUUUAAUAUCUCUCAGCCUCUGUGUUCUCACGUAUAGGAGAGGCAUCGUAAUCAUUCUUACCUUCUAGGAUGUGAUGCCAGGUGUAGAGGGCAUGCCACACUAUCUCUCAUUUAUGAUAGUCAUGAUCUAUAGCCCAGAAGCAUGGUCACGUUGAAAUGUACUGUUUCAUUAGGUACUUCUAUAUUUUUCCUAUGCUUCAUUUCAGUAUGUUAAGGAAGAAUUAAUUUUAUUUUAUGAAUAGGAAGACCAGGUAAGAAGUUGUUUCAAAGCCUUGGUAAGCACAUGUUGAAGAACUGGGUGAGAAGCCAGCCCACCUCCUCACUCAUUAUUGCUCUGUGAGGUGCGCUUCUUUCCAGCUGGGCACUACGCUGGGAAAUCUGAAAUAGAUAAGCAGACAAAAAGUGCUUGUUUGUGUCAGUGAAAAAUAAAUUCUGAGUUAAAAGCAUCUAGACUAUGACAAUUUAUAACCAUCAGCCUCAGAAACGUAUUUAAACUGGUCAGAUGGGCAACAGGAAACCAUGGCAGCUUUCUAGGUAGGAGAGUCAUGUUAACAUGCUUCUAAAGUAACUAUUUCAUAUCGAGUGUUUAACCAGGCCCAGGCCCUGCGAUAGAUGCUUCAUCUGUAUUGGUUCCGCUAGUGGAACCAUUUAAAAAUAUUGGUGCUUGGACUAACCCCAGAUUACAAAAUCAAAAUCUCAUCCUGAGCCUCGCCCUUGAGACUCCAUGCUCCACAACAUCCAGAAUUUAAUAGGGCAUGUUCUUUGAGGCGUUGCUUGUCACAUAUGAACCAGGAGCUGGGCCCUGAGUGGCCUGAGUGUUGGUGACAGGGAAGGGGUAAGAAUGUCUGGGAGUUGGGGCUGACUACAGAAAGAAGCUGCAGAAGAGUAGGAAGGAGUUAGGAUGAAGCAGUAAAGAGCUUGCCUGGACAGGCAGGAAGCCAGGAGGUGUGUGGUUUCCUUGUGUCAGAUUUCUUUAGCAGCAGUACAGAUAACAACUGAUGCAUAAAACCUACACGAGUUAGAAAGGCUCAUCUUGGAACCAGAUAGAGCCAAACCUCUGAGAAUGGACAGACAUGGUCUUGGAUGUGGUGUGUUGCCUAGCAGCAGAAGCAGAAGCCAUUCUUCUCCUUCAGCCCACUCGAAAUAUGAACUACACUGACAGACAAAGUAUAUAAAUACACUGGAAAGGAAGCCGCUAUGAGGGUAUAUCAGCAGAAACAAGAGACUAUAAACUUAGAUCUUGAAGGGCAUUCAGAUGUUGGACCAAUCAAAUAUAAAAUAUACAAUGAAAGUGUAUGAAGGAAUUAAAUAAAGGGAGCAAAAAGUAGCUAUUCUAUAAAAAGAAAUAAUUAGAGAAACAUUAAAAAUGGAGCAUGUAUAAAUAUGAAAAAUUAGUUAUAUUUAGUAAUGGACAGAUUAAAAGGCAGACACACAAAGUCUGUAAAAAUGUAAAGGAUCUGGAAAAUAAAGGUACAGUUGACCUUUGAACAAUGCAAUGCUUAGAGGUGCUGACCCUCACACACACUGUUAAAAAUCUGCAUAUAACUGUUGACUCUCCCCAAACUUAACUACUAAUGGCCUGCUGUUGAAGGGAAGCCUCACCAAUAACAAAAACCACUGAUUAACAGAUAUUGUGUGUGUUAUAUGCAUUAUAUGCUCUAAUGUAGAGUAAACUAAAGUAAAUAAAAUGUUAUUAAGAAAAUACUAAGAGAGAGAAAAUAUAUCUACAAUUGAUUAAGUAGAAAUGGUCCAUCAUAAGGUUUUUGUUUGUUUGUUUGUUUGUUUGUUUGUUUGUUUGUUUGUUUUUGACAGAGUCUUGCUCUGUUGCUAGGCGCCAGGCUGGACUGCAGUUACGUGAUCUCGGCUCACCGCAACCUCCACGUCCUGAGUAGCUGGGACUACAGACGUGCACCACCACGCCCAGCUAAUUUUUGUUUUUUAGUAGAGACGGGAUUUCACCAUGUUGGCCAGAAUGGUCUCAAUCCCUUGACCUCGUGAUCCGCCCUCCUCGGCCUCCCAAAGUGCUGGGAUUAUAGGCGUGAGCCACCAAGCCGGCCCCAUCCAUCAUAAGGUCUUCGUCCUCAUCGUCUUCACAUUGAGUAGUCUGAAGAGAGGGAUGGCUUAGACUCGCGGUCUCCUGGGUUGCAGAGGCAGAAAAAGAAGAAGAGGUGGAACAGAAAGCAGGAGAAGCAGGCAUACUAAGGAUAUCUUUGUGGAAAUACGAAGUUAUUUCUGUCUGACUUUUUUGCUUUUUCAUCUCCCUAAAUUAUGUUUCUAAACAGUAUCAAUCUUUCACCAUUUCCUUUGGUUUCAGUGCUCAUAUCAUAGAACGGUCUUUGUUGUAAAACAGGCUAUAAUCUGCCUUGAAUAAUCAGAAUCCUUCUGCCAAAUUAUAAUGCCAGUUUGUGCUCUGGCACUGCUUCUUCUACGUUUUCCUCACCGUUUGGAGCUGGUUCAGACGCACUCAUCUCUAUCAAGCUGUCUUCGGUUAAUUUCCCUAAUGUGCAAUUAGCUCUUGAAUUUUAUAAGAUUCAUGUCUUAAAAAUCUUCACUUUUUUUUGCCAUAUCCACAAUCUCUUUCAUUAUUUUCUUGAAUUGUUGUAUUGUGUACCAUAAAAACAUAUUCAAGUCCUCUCUCUGCCACCCCAGUAACUCAGAAUGUGCUCUUAUUAGGAAAUACAGUCCUUGCAAAUGUAAUCAGUUACAAUGAAGUUAUUUUGAAUUGGUGUAGGGCAAUCAUCCAGCAUAACUCAUGUUCUUAUCAAAGAAAAGAGGCUCACAGGGACAGCAACAUGUGAAGACACAGACACGCAGCAGGAAGGAAGCAAGAUAAUCACGAAACCCAAGAACUGAGUGAUGUAGCUGCCAGCAGGGAACACCAAGAUUGCUGGAGACAACCAACAGGAAGAGGGAGGUCACCGUCUUACUCUACUCACACCUUGAUUUCCGGCUUCUCGCCUCUGGCAGUGUGAGAAAAUGGAUUUCCAUUUAAACCUCCCUGUUUGUAGUGAUUUUUCAUGGCAGCCCUAGGAUAAAUACAGGCAUUAUCAGUUCCGUUUUGCAGAUGGGAAAACAGAGUCUCAGAGAGACUGAUUACGUACCCAUGGAGUAGAGAGCAGUCUCACCUCAUGGAUCCAUGAUCCGGUAAUGGAACGACUACGAGUGCUGGAACAGAUGUAAAAACUGGUGACCCACAGAAUCCAUUGAGUCCAGUGAUAUUUCCUUGGCUCUCAGAGGUGUGAUUUAUCUUGACAUUGAAUGAUUUAUCAGAGGUGAAAAACUCUAAGAUUUUGAAUAUGUUGCAUUUCAGGCCUCUGUUCCUUGAAUUUCAAGAUGGAAAGAAUUACCUGGUACUGAGCCAUGAUGACGCAUUCAUGAUUCCUUCUGAGUUUUCCUGUGUUCACCUAAUCUGAUUAACUUACUGUAUGUUCUCUACCAAGCAUAUAUGGUGUCUGUAUUUGUGGCCUCUGCCUGGGAGAGCUGAGAUCAGACUUGAAGUCAGUAAAUCUUAUUAAGAUUAUUAUCAAAACUAGUUUUAAUCUUACCACUUUAUGCUGAUGUAAUGAUUUGUACGAUAAUUCACUUUGAAUCUCAUUUCCCUAUCUGUCAGCUGCCUGCCUUGGAGAAAUUGUUGUAUUAAAUUUAAUGUCUGAAAACCAACAAUACCGAUUGAACAGCAGAAAUAUAUUAAUGUUACCUAUUAUCUCUGAUUCUUCAUGUGUCUGUAAUGCUAGAAAAAUGUAAGUUAAAUGAGGGAAAAUUUUUCAUAAGAUAAAGCAACAGCAUAUUUCCACAAGGAUUUCAAAAAAGUGACUCAAUGUCUCCAUUUCAAGGGAGAAGGGAGGGUAAAACAAUCUAACAACUAUAUUGAUUAACAGAAGAAAGGAAAUUUAAUGGAUAAAUAAUGCAACCUAAGUUUCAUAAGUCAUGUAGUAUGUGAUGUUAGUUUUCAGUGUGUAGCUGAGAAAAGUCAUUGUUGUCACAUGACACACCACUUCAGCCUGCCUGACCUUAGUUCUGCUGUGGUGGUGGUCACACAACAAGCCACUGUGCCUCAGGUUCUUUCUGCUUUGAAAAUUGGAGAUAUUCAUCAAGACUGAGGGCUGUUUAGCUGUUCAUAUGUGGGUCAAGAAUUCUGGGAGUGGGAGAACCAGCUCCUGGGGGCUAAUUUCAAACAAAGAAUGGCAUUAGUCAGUUGAUGAAUGUCGCUAAUUUCCCAUCUUCUAGUAAGGUUGAAUCUACAUAAUUGUAGAAGAUCUCUAACAAAGAUUGAAACCCAGUUUCUCAGAGCAGUAAUAAAUUCAUCAAUGCAACUUUUGGGGAGAUUAUCUUCCUUUCAUCUCCCUUCCCCACUCCCUCACUUCCGUUUCUUGGAAAUUCUUUCCAAAUAAUACCUACACUCAAGUCCCUGACUCCUCCAACUUCGUGGUCAACCAAACUGUGUCAUCAUCAUCAUCUUCACCACCACUACCAUUGUUGCCAUCAUCAUCUCUGUUGAGCACUUUACAUAUGAAAAGAACGAAGACUAGUUUUCUGCAUAUAUCAUGUCAUAUAAUUCUUGCUGCAUUACAAAAUGUCUAGGAUUAACUCUCCUCACUGAUAGAACUUCAUAGCUAAGUUAAUUGCACAUAUAAUCAGACAUCUAAUAACAAGUAUGGGGCAGAGGUAGCCGAGGCCCUGAAGCAACCCUUUCAUUCUUGUGAUGUCAAAGUGAGCCUCAUUCCUUGGAGGCAGAUGGUCAAACUUUCAUAUUGCAUAUGGUGAGAGCCAGGCGUCUGCGGCCCUUUCUCCUUUUUAUUGGGUAGAUCUGCAGGAGGUGGAGAGGAAGUGAUGAGGAUUACCUGAGUCUCUUUUCAACUUCCAUAUGCCUCACAAUUUUGCUUUUUUAAGACCUCUUCUAGCUAACCUCUGUCAAAACACACUGCCUGCCCCUCUUUCAAGAGCCCAGAGCAAGAACCAGGACAUAUCUGGAAUGAUUGCUCAAGAAACUUAAGGAAACUAGAAUAACUCCUACCCCCUUUCUUCUUCUUUUUCUUCUAUACCUACUCAAACAUUUCUUAUAUUCAAGUUCGAAUCUAAUUUCAUAAAAACCAAGAGAUGCCCUUGGCUCCAGUAAAAAUGAAUGUAUCAAAGCUUCUUUGCCUUCCAUACUAUGAUUACAGUGAUACUAUUUUGAAAACAUCAACUUACAAUGUUUUUAAAGCUUUAAUUCUAUUUUCAAAUAUGCUUCAUAUAUAGGUUUUUCAACAAGAGUACAAGCAGUUACUUCUUAACUAUGUUAUUUUACAACUAAUUGUAUUCUGUGGCUAUAGUGGAAAUUGUAGUAAAUCUCAAAUAGAUAUGAGAAUCAAUCAAUAAGGAAAUAAUGCAUCUACAUUUUAUCAUGGUUUCAAUGAGCACUGGUAUCUGUUUGAAGCCAUGUGAACCCUUUCUUGCUGAUAGCAUCUGUGGUAAAGGUUACCACUAUCUCCACUCCAGCCACCGAGUGCUUUAAAUAUUUGUGCAUUUAUGGCUGUCACUGUGGCUCCAGCCUGUAAUCUCAGUGGGUUUCAUGAAGCCUGGAUUUAGAGAUCAGUCUGGGCAACAUGGUGGGUCUUUGUCUCUGAAAGAAUUAAAACAGUCAGCCAUGCACACACAGGGGUGCAUCUGUGGUCCUAGCUACUUGGGAGGCUGAGGCUGGAGAAUAUCUUGAGCCCAGGAAUUCAAGAUAGCAGUCAGCUAUGAUCAUAUCUUGGCACUCCAGGCUGGGCAAGAGAGCAAGACCCCACUAAAAAAAAAUAGUGCAUUUAAUGAAAGCGAUUGUUUCUCUCCUUUUGUCCAUUUCAUACAGACAGCACAGCACCUCUCCAGGUUUUCCUUUACAGUCUCAGGAAUUCUCCAUACAGACAAAGCUUGGGAGUAUUUGUAGAUUCUGCGGACUCAGAAGAAUCUGAGAGAAUCUGAGAAGAAGCUGACUCAGCUAUGGGGUAUCGCAAAUUAUAAAUUAUGGCUCAUGCCUCUGUGACCCAGUUUAUCACCUAAGAAGGUUGAGAGAGAGAGAGAGAGAGAGAGAGAGAUCCUAGGAAAAGGACUGCUUGGCACUAGGGAUUAUAGCUGUACUUACUUUCAGCUUAAGGAACUGUAUUGUUACUCUGAAAGAAAAAGGAAUUUUCUGAUAAAGAAAGCAGACCCCUGCCACCCACCAAAAAAUAAAAUAAAAUAAAGCAAUCAUAGAUUCUGAUCAUUCUGGAGAAAAAAAUCUUAAUGAUUUUGGGUUACAUUUGGCCUUUUUGUAUUCAGAAAAAGUUUGAUUUUUUUUCUGUGUU